rnacentral:tRNA from 1 species
GUCUGGGUGGUGUAGUUGCUUAUCACGUUAGUCUCACACACUAAAGGUGCCCAGUUCGAACCUGGGCUUAGACA